CAGUAGCCGCGGUAAUACGGAGGGUGCAAGCGUUAAUCGGAAUUACUGGGCGUAAAGCGCACGCAGGCGGUCUGUCAAGUCAGAUGUGAAAUCCCCGGGCUUAACCUGGGAACUGCAUUUGAAACUGGCAGGCUAGAGUCUUGUAGAGGGGGGUAGAAUUCCAGGUGUAGCGGUGAAAUGCGUAGAGAUCUGGAGGAAUACCGGUGGCGAAGGCGGCCCCCUGGACAAAGACUGACGCUCAGGUGCGAAAGCGUGGGGAGCAAACAGGAUUAGAUACCCGUGUAGUCCCUGUCUCUUAUAC
rnacentral:rRNA from 1 species